ensembl:lncRNA
AUGAUUUUAGGGGGCGGGGCUAGUUGCUGCUCCCUAAUCAUCAGGAGGAGGUGCUCCGGGGCGGUUGGCUUCUCCUUCUCGUCCGGGUCGUCCAGGUCCACCUCAUGGCAGACCAGCGCCUCCGGACCAAUCUGCAAUUCUACCUCCUCAGCGGGGGAGGAGUCUGGGGCAGGCGUCCCAGGAACCACCUCUGACUCUUUAGAGGCUCCGCCCAUCAGCAGCUCUUCUGACCCCUCCUUCGGCGUGUCCUCUAGACGGGGCCAGUCUUCUGCCUUCAUCGCUCCCUCGCUUUUUUCUAACUCCGCCCUGUGGAGAGGAGAGGGGAGUCCUUUGGGCGAAGCUCCUAAGGCCAUCUUGGAAGGGACUGGGGGAGUUUCGGGACAAGGGGCCUCCAGCUGUCUCCUUUCAGGACGGAGCUUCUUGUCAGUUUCUCGCUGCUCUGCGGCCUUUCGUUUUAAUGUGGAGCUGCUCCUCUUCUCAGGAAUCUGCGGUGGGAGACUCGGGGGAGAGGCGCUGGGUGGGAAGGCAGUGGAGAACCACCAUGGGCUCGUCCUGUCUCUUCAGGACGCUACAAGGAGGAGACACCUCCUUGUGGGCAGGGCAGGUGCUGAGGAAGAUUCUGGGAGGAGUUUCGGAGACUGUCUCCCUGAGGGCCCUGCGACCUUUGACCCUGGGAGAGGACAGAGGAGUGGACCUGCUGUCCUCCUCCUCUGCUGAGACGGGCUGAGGAGAGGACACAUUCUCUUCAAGAAACGCCCUGAUGGCAUCCGGAGGAGACGUGAUGGCGUGAGGAGAAGGCCUCUUGUUAAACACCUCCUGUGCAGGAAACAAGUGGUCAGAGUCUUGGACAGACGACAUCUCCUCGUCCAGGUGAACCAGCAACAUGGCAGCUUCUACUGUUGGCUCCUCCCUUUGUUCCGCCUCCUUCUUUAAUUGGCUCAGGAGUUUGUCGGUUUUCUCCUGAGGCAUGAUGGGGCGCUGCAGUGUCAUGGCAACAGGUGUCUGACCAGCUGUUGCCGUGGCGACAGUGUUGUUGUUGGCGGCCGUCUUAACGUCAGCAACCUGACCUGGCUCCUCCUCCUCCCCCCCCUUCCCCUCCUCCUCUUUACAGGACGGGCCUUCGGUCCGCCCUUGCCGUGGCGACGGCUUUUUGUCAGGCGGGCUUUCUGAUUCGCUGUCGUCUGAGGAGUUCCCAGAAUCCUCUGCAGGGAGACAGAGCAGCAGAGCAGUUCGAUAUUACGAGACUAAUGAAAAGCACGUGAAACCCGAAAUACAAGUAGGAGUCUUAAAAAGAGCGAGUGAUCUCACCGUUAGACGCUUGAUCGGAGUCGUACAAACCCGACGUCCUCCUGGUUCUCCUGCGAGGAGUGUCUGCAGGUAGGGGGACACGUCAAAGACAGUCACACAAAAAAGAAAGCUAGUUGGGCGGAGUCUUACUGUCUCCGUUGGCCAUGUUGGAAGGCAUCUCCGUACGGCUGCUCCGGCCGUUGGACCGCCCCUCGCUGCUCGGCGUCUUAGAGACGCUGUGUCCCGCUGAGCCACCGGGUGGCGUCCCGGUCUGGGGUCGCCCCCGCUUGGCUCCCGGAGGCUUCAACACUGCUGACGGAGGCUGGUCUUCAUCUCUUUCUGUCUCCGGCUCAUCUUUGUUCUGUUGGGACAGACAGUGUCAAACAGACCAUGAUGUAAAAAAAAGG